GACGAACGCUGGCGGCGUGCCUAAUACAUGCAAGUCGAGCGGACGAAUCGAAAGCUUGCUUUUGAUUCGUUAGCGGCGGACGGGUGAGUAACACGUGGGCAACCUGCCCUGUAGACGGGGAUAACACCGAGAAAUCGGUGCUAAUACCGGAUAACACGAAAUGUCGCAUGACGUUUCGUUGAAAGACGGCGCAAGCUGCCGCUACAGGAUGGGCCCGCGGCGCAUUAGCUAGUUGGUGAGGUAACGGCUCACCAAGGCGACGAUACGUAGCCGACCUGAGAGGGUGAUCGGCCACACUGGAACUGAGACACGGCCCAGACUCCUACGGGAGGCAGCAGUAGGGAAUCUUCCGCAAUGGACGAAAGUCUGACGGAGCAACGCCGCGUGAGCGAAGAAGGCCUUCGGGUCGUAAAGCUCUGUUGUUAGGGAAGAACAAGUAACGCAGUAACUGGCGUUACCGUGACGGUACCUAACGAGAAAGCCACGGCUAACUACGUG
rnacentral:rRNA from 1 species